rnacentral:rRNA from 1 species
AGAUUGAACGCUGGCGGCAGGCCUAACACAUGCAAGUCGAGCGGUAGAGAGGUGCUUGCAUCUCUUGAGAGCGGCGGACGGGUGAGUAAUGCCUAGGAAUCUGCCUAGUGGUGGGGGAUAACGUUCGGAAACGGACGCUAAUACCGCAUACGUCCUACGGGAGAAAGCGGGGGACCUUCGGGCCUCGCGCCAUUAGAUGAGCCUAGGUCGGAUUAGCUAGUUGGUGAGGUAAUGGCUCACCAAGGCGACGAUCCGUAACUGGUCUGAGAGGAUGAUCAGUCACACUGGAACUGAGACACGGUCCAGACUCCUACGGGAGGCAGCAGUGGGGAAUAUUGGACAAUGGGACGAAAGCCUGAUCCAGCAAUGCCGCGUGAGUGAUGAAGGCCGUUAGGUGUAAAGCUCGUUUACCGGAAGAUAAUGACUGACCGGAGAAUAAG